ACUCAAAUGAAUUGACGGGGGCCCGCACAAGCGGUGGAGCAUGUGGUUUAAUUCGAUGCAACCCGAAAAACCUUACCUACCCUUGACAUCCUUAGAAUCUGGCUGAGAGGCUGGAGUGCCGAAAGGAGCUAAGUGACAGGUGCUGCAUGGCUGUCGUCAGCUCGUGUCGUGAGAUGUUGGGUUAAGUCCCGUAACGAGCGCAACCCUUUUCCUUUGUUGCUAACAGGUUAAGCUGAGUACUUGAAGGAGACUGCCAGUGAUAAGCUGGAGGAAGGGGAGGAUGACGUCAAGUCCUCAUGGCCUUUAUGGGUAGGGCAACACACGUGCUACAAUGGGAUAUACAACAAGUUGCCAACCCGCGAGGGGGAGCUAAUCUCUUAAAAUAUCUCGUAGUCCGGAUUGGAGUCUGCAACUCGACUCCAUGAAGCUGGAAUCGCUAGUAAUCGCAAAUCAGCAUGUUGCGGUGAAUACGUUCUCGGGCCUUGUACACACCGCCCGU
rnacentral:rRNA from 1 species